AUACUUACCUGGCAGGGGAGAUACCAUGAUCGUGGAGGUAGUUUUCCCAGUGUGAGGCUCAUCCAUUGUACUCUUGUGUGGGUUGACCCCUGCGAUUUCCCCUAAUGCGGGAAACUUGACUGCAUAAUUUGUGAUAGUGGGGGACUGCAUUCGCGCUCUCCCCUG